GCAUAACUGCGGGGUUGGCGUUUCCUACAGACCCCUUGACCCUAAUUACAUUCUGCCUGGGAACCAGACGCAGCUAGGUGUGCAAGCUCAUCUUGAGUGAGAAGCCCGAAAGAUUGUUGAGGUACCCACUUGAACCCUGCGGUUCAAGGGCAUAAGGUUAAGCGGCUUUCGCGGUUAUGCU
rnacentral:other from 1 species